UACAGGGGGUGCAAACGUUGCUCGGAAUUACUGGGCGUAAAGGGCGCGCAGGCGGCCCUUGAAGUCAGGCGUGAAAGCCCCGGGCUCAACCUGGGAGGUGCGCUUGAUACUCGAGGGCUUGAGUGCGGGAGAGGAGAGUGGAAUUCCCAGUGUAGAGGUGAAAUUCGUAGAUAUUGGGAAGAACACCGGUGGCGAAGGCGGCUCUCUGGACCGUAACUGACGCUGAGGCGCGAAAGCGUGGGGAGCAAACAGG
rnacentral:rRNA from 1 species